UAGUUACCGAAGAUGGUGUAUGACUACUAUGCAUCUGGUGCAGAGAACCAAUGGACAUUGCAGGAGAAUAGGAAUGCAUUCUCCAGGAUCCUGUUUCGUCCUCGCAUUCUUAUCGAUGUAAGCAAUAUCGACAUGAAUACAACUGUUCUGGGAUUCAAGAUAUCAAUGCCCAUCAUGCUUGCCCCACAGCCAUG